ACAAUUCUCUUUUAACUCUAUGAUAUUAAUAUUAUUAUAAUAUUAUUGAUAUUUAUUUUCAUACCAUUUAACUUUAUAAAUUAUGAGUUUAUGAUAUGAUAUAUGCAUAAUAAAUGUGCAAGUUAGGAUGAUAUUAUUGUGAUUGCAUUUGUUUUAUUUAAUUUUUCAGAACAUCUCUAUUUUAAAGAAGACUUUACCGGACUUUUAAUAAUAUUUGUGACAACUUAAUUAUCAAAGUAGUAUUAUUAAUACGUUGGUUACAUAUAUGGUUAGAAGUAGACAUAUUGCAAGUGACUCUCAUAACUUGAAUACGAGAACACCUUCUGCAUUCGAAGGAGAUGAGCAUCCAAUGCCACAGUCACAUCUUUUGAUACACUUAGAUGCUGAAGUUAAUGAGCAAGAGGUUAUACCUGCUAGCUCACAUGGUUCACAUCCCAUCUCUUCGAUUGAGUCUUUAGGGCAAGAUCGACUUGAAAUUCUUGAUGAAAAUCGUUAUCAGGUAGAUUCAAAUGCUCUCAGGUGAUUUCGAAUAGUUUUAAGGAAUGCUUUGAUAAUGGAAGUGUCAACUUGAAAGGUGUCUCACAAGCAAUAAAAGAUUUUUAUUGAAAAGAAUUCAAGAAAAAGUAUUUUUGGGAUCCCACCACUGAGGCAGCAAUAAAGGCUGCAUGAAAAGUAAAGGUAGCAGACCGGUAUAAAGAUAUCAUGGCGAAUCUAAAAAGUACAAGAAAGAGGCCCGCAUAUGUGAGUGAAGAAGCAUGAAAACAAUGGGAACAAUAUUGGAAUAAUCCUAAGGUCAUUCAACAGUCAGAGUGUAACUCAACAAAUUGUCGUCGUGCCGUAAAUGGUCUUGGACCGUCUACGCAUACAGGAUGCUAUGAGGGAGGAGCUCUCAUAAACCAAGACCGUUAACGUUCAAAUUUAUUUAGAUGUUAUGGAAGGGGACAAUAGACAAAAGGUAUAUGAUCUUGAAUCUGAAGCAUCUUCCUUUUUUCCUUAAUAGCUUUACAGCUUCUAUAAUGUCAUCAUUUGAUUCUUUGAAUGUUGCAUUGCAACAACAUGUGCAUGAGUUGGAGAAGCAAAUUGAAGACGAAAGACAAGUUACAUCAAAUCAUCUAGAAAAAUUACCGUUAGACUUGGAUUCGAAGAUUGACCGAGUGAGAAGCUCUAUGAUGGAAAAGGUGACCGGAUUACUAUUUAGAGGCAAUCUAACUCUAUUUCCAGCCCCACAAAAUUAAUUUAUGAGAUAGAGACAAUAGGUGGUUAUAUUAGAUAUUAUUGCAUUUUUAUUACUGCUCUUAUGUAUAAAUUAUGAAGUUUAAUAUUAUAGGUAUUAUCUUUUAAUUAUGUAAAUGGGUCUUGAAUGUG